UGGGGAAUAUUGCACAAUGGGGAAACCCUGAUGCAGCGACGCCGCGUGAAGGAAGAAGUAUCUCGGUAUGUAAACUUCUUAUCAGCAGGGAAGAUAGUGACGGUACCUGACUAAGAAGCCCCGGCUAACUACGUGCC
rnacentral:rRNA from 1 species